UCCGGAGCCCCCGCCUGCCUUGCUUGGUCCUGCUGGACGGAGGCAGCUUUGCAGGCUCCAGCCUUAAAGGGAGGGGCUGCCCACCGUCAGCGGUCGGGGAGCCAGCAGCUGCGAAAUAGGGCGCCGGAUCCCCAGCAAAGAAGCAGGAAGGGCCAGGCAUGCGAUUGGUGCCCACAUUCCGGCUGGCAAGGCUGCCUCAGUGUCUGUUUUCCAGAGCGGCUAUUUCCAUAUACACUGAGGUUAGGCUCUCCUGCUCUGGACUGCUAACAUCUGCAGUUUGAAGGUUGAUCUCUCACUUCAUCCAGCCUACUGAUGUGGAUUGGCUCCCUAAAGCAGUUGGUGCCUCUGUGGACAGCAUGGAAAGAGCGGUGGAGCUGUCCGAUGUGGCGGGUGGCCAGUCCUUCUCCUUAAUUUCAUCAGAAUAAAGAGCAGGAAAGAUUCACUGUGUCUCUUACAGGGGCUCUCUUCUCAUCAGAAAAGUCAAAAAGCAUUUUGCUUUUCAUGUUGAAAAAAUAAACACAAACAGAUCAACUCUC